GUAGGUGAACCUGCGGAAGGAUCAUUAGUGAAUAUUAGCGCAUCUCUUCGGAGAGCGUGACCUCCACUUUCUAACUCUGUGCAUUUAUUUGGCGGGAAACUAUGUAGAUCAGUAGUAAUACUCGAACUACAUGUUUCCUGCGGCUCAUUUUAUAACACUAGUUAAAGUAUGUAACGAAAUAUCGAAACAAAAAAAAACUUUCAACAACGGAUCUCUUGGCUUGCGCAUCGAUGAAGAACGCAGCAUCUGA
rnacentral:misc_RNA from 1 species